rnacentral:rRNA from 1 species
GAUGAACGCUGGCGGCGUGCCUAAUACAUGCAAGUCGAGCGAACAGACGAGGAGCUUGCUCCUCUGACGCUAGCGGCGGACGGGUGAGUAACACGUGGAUAACCUCCCUAUAAGACUGGGAUAACUUCGGGAAACUGGAGCUAAUACCGGAUAAUAUAUUGAACCGCAUGGUUCAAUAGUGAAAGACGGUUUUGCUGUCACUUAUAGAUGGAUCCGCGCCGCAUUAGCUAGUUGGUAAGGUAACGGCUUACCAAGGCAACGAUGCGUAGCCGACCUGAGAGGGGGAUCGGCCACACUGGAACUGAGACACGGUCCAGACUCCUACGGGAGGCAGCAGUAGGGAAGCUUCCGCAAUGGGCGAAAGCCUGACGGAGCAACGCCGCGUGAGUGAUGAAGGUGUUCGGAUCGUAAAACUCUGUUAUUAGGGAAGAACAAAUGUGUAAGUAACUAUGCACGUCUUGACGGUACCUAAUCAGAAAGCCACGGCUAACUACGUG